AAAGAGAAGUUCAGUCAUUUUCCUCAGACAUUUUACAGCAGUUCCUGAUGACAUGGUCUUACCAAAACCAUCAUUGCUCAUCGCAAGGGUUUCCAGUCGACUUCUCGUCCUUUCCACGUUAAGUGGCAUCUCACCGCGAUUCCAAGCGAGACUGGACGUCGGCUUCAGAGACACACGUUGCUGAGGGGAGCAUUUGGAUGCUUGUACAUGCUUCUGCUUUAAAUAAAAAAAGAAGAAAGAAGAUCUUUAGAAUAAAGGCUGGUGAGCACUUGUGCCCUGCAGGUGAAGGGUGCCAGGUCCACUGGGAGGACAAUCUCAGUGAUGUUAAGAACUGAGAAGAUGGCCUUUUAGAUUCUAACAUAAAAAUGGUCAUAAAUCUGUCCUUUGAUUGCUCUGAAUAUUAAUAAAACCGUGUACUCUAUACAAAAAAGCUCUGUGCUUACUAGGAAUAAAGUAUGUGCAA